UCCUCCUUAGCUCAGUUGGUAGAGCGCGUCACUUGUAAUCAAAUUGGACUUCGCGGUGUUUGAUGUGAUCAUGACGAGGUCAGUCGUUCGAGUCGGCUAGGUGGAA